GAAGGCGGAAGGAACUGCUCAACUUACAGUAAUCAGGGACCGGUGAGACAGAGAGGAGGAGUUGGGGGAAAGGAACCACCAGAGAAUAGUACUGUCCUCUGGAUAGUAUAAGGGUCCAGGCAUCCCUCCUGAACAAUGUACCUCUCCACUGAAGAGUAUACGAAGAGGCCUAGACUGAUGAUGUUUGAGGAUUUGAAUUUGGAAAUAAAUAGCUGGAAUCAGUCAGUGACUAUGAAGGUGUCAAAUUGGACGUGGCUGCGAGGAACAAGAGGAGAAAAACCGCAGGAGAAAUUUUUUUUAAAAAUCGUGUUUGUCAAAAUUUGUAUUUGUUAUUUGCAAAAGUGUUGGCGAUGGGGGAAAUAAAGGCUGUUUGACUGGGUGGGACAUCGGGUGAUGAAAUCUCCAGGAAUGUGUCCAACCAUUUUUGGUCACCCAAUGUUCAGAGUCACCAGCCACUUAGUGUUUGCAGUCAAACAAAUUUUUCUGGUACGCAGGCCUCCUGGCUUUCUUGGAUCUUGGCAGUGAUUUUAUUGGUGGGGGGGGGUCUUGCUCCUCCCUAUCACUACAAUCUCCUCCACCUGACAACCCUCUGAGAUAUCUGCACUUUUGUAAUUCUGGCCUCUGGUGCAUUGCAGAUUUUAAUAGCUCCAUCAUUGGUGACCGUGCCUUGAGCUACCUAGGCCCUAAGCACUGAAAUUCUCUCCCUACACCUCUCUGCCUCUCUACCUCACUUUCCUCCUCUAAAACACUCUUUAAAACUUACCUCUUUGACCAAGCUUUUGUUCAUCUGACCUAAUAUCUCCUUACGUGGCUCAGUGUCAUACUUAGUUUUAUCAUGUUCCUGUGAAGCACCUUGGGACAUUUUAUAAGAACAUGUAGCCAGAGCCAGGCAACCAGUAGGAUGCAUCAAGAUCCGCAUCAAAGAGGUGUGCAAGCAUGACAUGAAGAUCCUAAACAUCGAUUCCUACACCUGGGAGACAUUAGCCAGCGACAGAGGAAAAUGGUGGCAUCAUCUGUCGGCUGGCGUGUGCCCCAAUGACAAUCAGUGGUGAUAGAGGCUUGGCAACAGGUAGCAACACCAAAAACAAGAACCCACAAUGACACUUGAUACCUACCCCAUAUGCGGCACUUGUGACAAGGCUACCUCUCACAGAUUAGUCUCUUCAGCCGUCAGCGAGAGUGCACCGUGUGAACCUACCCCAUUCCCAACAACUUGCUGCAUGUCCAUUCAUUACCUUUCGUAAAUGGAAGAAUGCUGAUGGACGAACAUAAGAAAUAGAAGCAGGAUUAGCCCGCUCCACCAUUCAAAACAACCAUGGCUGAUCUUUGGCUUAAAUUCCACUUUCUCGCCCGCUCCCCGUUUCUCUUGAUUCUCUGAGAGGCCAAAUAUCUGUCUAUCCCAGCCUUAAAUAUAUUCAAGCAUCCACAACCUUCUGGGGGGUAAAGAAUUCCAAAGAUUCACAACUCUUUGAAGAAAUUCCUCCUCAUCUCAAUCCUUAAUUAUUGAUCCCUUAUCCUCUGAGGUACCUCCACUCCUCCAAUUCUGACCUCUUGAACAACUCCCAUUCUCAUUGCUCUACCAUUGGCAACCAUGUCUUCAGCUGUCUAGGCCCUAAUCUCAGGAAUUUCCUCCCUAAACCCCUCUGCUCUCUCAACAUCUCUCUCCUCCUUUAAGCCGGUCCUUAAAAACCUAGUUCAUUGGCAGAACUUGUGAUCAAACUUUUGUCCUAAUAUCUGCUUGUGCGGUACAGUGUCAAAUGUAUCUGGUUACACUCUUGUGAAGCAUUUUGCAGUGUUUGGAUAGAUUAAGGGUACUCAAGUUUUUAACUGCAAAGCAUUGGCCUUAAUGGGGAGUGAAACACGAGCGAAUAUAGAAACUGGUGAAUCUAUUGUUGCUUCAGAGGCAUUAAAAUUAUAGAUCCUGCCCUGGGGAGAAAUGGCAGUGGAUUUCCCUAAUUUCCUAAUAUAAUGUUUACUGUGGGCUUGUGGUCCAGUUUGAGUGCUGCAGUGACAAUAUCUGGAAUGUAUGUCCUUCACUUGCUUGUCUGCUAUUUACAGAGUGAAAAGCUUAUCCUUUCUUAAGUGAAUGUAAACAGACUGGGCACUGAAUGUGCACAAACGCUUCUGAUAACACCAGUCUGCAUCCUUGCACUUUUGUUGCACUAAUUAAGUGAUUCGUCCACAGGCAAACACAAAUUUUGACACCAUUAAGGAAAGGAUUAUGGUUCUAAAUUGAAUCGCAGAUCCAUUGUUGUAAAUGAAAUGCUAUCGCAAUGGUCAAGUGUUUUUGAGAAAAUGGUUGUGUAAGUCUCACAGUAUUUCAGGUGAUGAUUUUAACAAAUGCAAUAAAAACAGACCAAAUAAGUCUGAA